rnacentral:lncRNA from 1 species
UCAUUAUUCUAUGGUUUAUGCAGAAUUCAAGGUCAGGAAAGGGCAAAGUUGUUAAAGAAACCAACAUUCCAAAUUUAGUUUCAAAUAGCAAACUUUGUACCAGACUAGAAUGUAUAAAUAAAUUGAUCACGGAAAAGAUAAAAACUUAACAGAAGCAGUAACUAAAAUACCUCAUUUUAUAUGAAAGAUCAUUAAAUAUUUAUGGUCUUUUGGGAAACACAUUAGAAACCACAUAUAAUUUUAUUUCAAUGCCUCAAAAAAAUA